CAACUACUCCCUCUGUCCCAAAUUUCUUGUCUUAGAUUUGUCUAGAUACGGAUGUAUCUAAUACUAAAAUGUGACUUGAUACAUCCGUAUCUAGACAAAUCUAAGACAAGAAUUUUGGGACAGAGGGAGUAAUUU
rnacentral:pre_miRNA from 1 species